rnacentral:rRNA from 1 species
ACGGAGGCGCCCAAAGGUUCCCUCAGAAUGGUUGGAAAUCAUUCGCAGAGUGUAAAGGUAGAAGGGAGCUUGACUGCGAGACUGACAAGUCGAGCAGGGACGAAAGUCGGGCUUAGUGAUCCGGUGGUUCCGUAUGGAAGGGCCAUCGCUCAACGGAUAAAAGCUACCCUGGGGAUAACAGGCUUAUCUCCCCCAAGAGUCCACAUCGACGGGGAGGUUUGGCACCUCGAUGUCGGCUCAUCGCAUCCUGGGGCUGUAGUCGGUCCCAAGGGUUGGGCUGUUCGCCCAUUAAAGCGGUACGCGAGCUGGGUUCAGAACGUCGUGAGACAGUUCGGUCCCUAUCCGUCGCGGGCGCAGGAAAUUUGAGAGGAGCUGUCCUUAGUACGAGAGGACCGGGAUGGACGUUCCGCUGGUGUACCAGUUGUGCCGCCAGGCGCAUCGCUGGGUAGCUAUGAACGGAAGGGAUAAACGCUGAAAGCAUCUAAGUGUGAAGCCCCCCUCGAGAUGAGAUUUCCCAUUCCUAUAUGGAAGUAAGACCCCUGAAAGAUGAUCAGGUAGAUAGGCUGGAAGUGGAAGUGCAGCGAUGCAUGGAGCGGACCAGUACUAAUCGGUCGAGGACUUAACCAA